rnacentral:rRNA from 1 species
AGCAGCCGCGGUAAUUCCAGCUCCAAUAGCGUAUAUUAAAGUUGUUGCAGUUAAAAAGCUCGUAGUUGAACUUCAGGUCGGGUUGGGCGGUCCGCUUAACGGCGUGUACUGUCUGACUUGGCCUUACCUCUUGGUGAGCCGGCGUGCCCUUUAUUGGUGUGCGUCGGGGAACCAGGACUUUUACCUUGAGAAAAU